UACAGAGGUCUCAAGCGUUGUUCGGAUUCAUUGGGCGUAAAGGGUGCGUAGGCGGCGCGGUAAGUCGGGUGUGAAAAUCUCGGAGCUUAACUCCGAAACUGCAUUCGAUACUGCCGUGCUUGAGGACUGGAGAGGAGACUGGAAUUUACGGUGUAGCGGUGAAAUGCGUAGAUAUCGUAAGGAAGACCAGUGGCGAAGGCGGGUCUCUGGACAGUUCCUGACGCUGAGGCACGAAGGUCAGGGGAGCAAACGGG
rnacentral:rRNA from 1 species